GGCCGACUAGCUCAGUUGGUUAGAGCGUCGUGCUAAUACUUGGUUCUGACUGUCGCUUGUCACCACGUGACGGUAUGGGGCUGAGGUACGCGAAGGUCUUGGGUUCGAUCCCCACGUUGGCCA